AAGUGACGUCGCCGUCGCCGCUGCUGUGUUGCUGUUGUCCUUUGCUGCGACGAACCGCCGGAGCUCAGUUCCCCUCUUGUGCUUUAUUUUCGUCCCUGCUCUACUUGAGCAGAGAGUCAAACAUUGUUGCAGGUUUGGUGUUGUGAGCUCGGAAUUGGAAGUGAAGCAAGAUAAAGAUGUCGUCGUAGCUUAUGGAUUGAGUUUGUUUCUAGAUAGUGUAUUUGAGAACAGUUAUUCAUUGUUCCUUUGUAUAUAACUUUUGGGAAUUAUAGUGGAGUUAUUGGUGUAAUUGAAGUCUUAUAUAAAGGAUUUUGUUUUGUGGGCCAUAA